rnacentral:lncRNA from 1 species
UACUAAUGAUUGAUUUAAAACACCCCGUUUUGAUGAUUAUCUCGAAAACCAGUACCGAUUGCACCCCGCUUUAUUAAUAUAAAGCUAUUAAAUACGUAUUUUCAUGUCAUAAACGAUCCAAAGGGGUACCAAUUAUUUGUAUAUAUAAAUAGAUUUUUCUACAGCUGAUUUUCACCCGUAGAAAUCAUUUUCACCAGUUUCUUUUCACAAAUACCGAGAGAAACCGAGCGGUGUUCUUCGUGUUCUUCAUAAUCAAACGAGGAUUUGAAGGUGUUAUUGGAAUCCGAUGGAGGCGUAUGAAUAGUCAAAACGAAGCUAUCGACGCGUAGAAUCAGGUUUAAGCAUCCGUUUAUGUGCAGAUUUUUCAGGUGAUUUUAUAUUAAUUUUACAAAAUUCGAAUUAUUAUGAUUUAAAUAGUGAAUUCUUGCAAACGUGAUUGUUUGAUUGUUUGGAUGAUUCCAUGUUGUAGUACGUGCUUUUCUCGUCGUUUUGGUAUAUUAUAUGUUGAUUUUUGAGUUCGAUAACAUAUAGAAAAAGGGGUUUGAUUAUCGAAGCUUGUUCUUGAAUGUUCUUGUAGUUCUUGAAGGUUUUUAAUUCGAAAUUGGGGAUUUCUUGUUUAGUGAUGAACGACCUCCGUAGAGGUCGCCGGAUACUGGAAAGAGAGGCGGCGCCGCCGCUCUCUCUUCCAAAUUUACGGCAACUUGGGACGUUUGAUGUCGGUUAUAAGGUCAUGAAUAGAUUCAUGGUGGUCUGUAGAGUAGUUCUGGAGCUUGUGGUGGUUAACGGAGGCUGGGAACGCGUUUCCCGGCGAGUUGGGUGGUGGCCGGCGGAAACUUUCUGUUUGGUCACCCAACUUUUGAAGAUGAUGAAGUGAGGGUACCCUGGUUUCAAAACUUACAAAAUACCCCCUGUAACUUUGAAAAGUUACAGUUUAAACCUUGGCCGAAAACUUUCAAAAACUUGCAAAAUAAACCUUUUGAUUUAAUUGUUUUAUUUAAUUAUUUUUAAAUUCCAAAAAUAGUUUUUAAUUAUUUCUUUAUUCAAAAAUAAAUCUAAAUUAGUUUGUUAAUUAAUUUUAAUUAGUAAUUAAUUAUUUUAAUUAGUCAAUUAAUUUAAAUAUUAAUUGAUUAAUUAUUUUAAUUAAUUAUUAAUUGAUUUUAAUUGAUUAAUUAAUUGGAUUUAAUUAAUCCUUUUUGAUUUAAAAAUUCCGAAAAAUAGUUUCGAGCUUUAAAAUAUUUUUCCAAAUUAUUUUCAAGGCUCGAUAAUUGUUUAUGAAUGAUUUCAAGUCCAAUUUCAAGUAUUUGGGACUUGAUUAUUUAUCCGAAAAGUGAUUCUUUUAUCGAUUUUAAUUCCGAAAAAUGUUUAAAAAUUCCAGAAAAUUCCCGAAAAAUCAUUUUAAACCCGAGACUCGAUUUGACAUUAGUCGGGAUGAGAAAUCUUAUGUGUUAUGUGAUGUGUGUUAUUAGAGUGAUGUAUUAUGUGCUGAUAGAGGAAGUAGGAAACAAUUUGGAUCAUAACUUUUGAUCUGUAAAUCAGAAUCAAGUGAAACGAAAGAGAGACAGAAGCUUAUAACGUCUAUCUUAAUAUGAUGUGACUAUAUGGCCGAGUCUAGAAGUUGAAUAAUUGUUGAUAAGUAUGCAUAAUGUGAUAAUAUGUGAUCUAAGUGCUAUUAAGUGAUGAUUAUGUGAAGUACGUGUUAGUUUUGAUAUUGUGAAGUGAUAAAUGAUUCGUAUGAUUGAUAUUGGAUAAGAAUAUAUGGAUUAUAGUUAUUGGAUUUUGUUGGUUGAUUAAUGAUUGAGAUAGGAUAACAGGUGGAUAGUCUAAUAAAUAGACGAGAUGAUGUCGGAUUUUUGACAAGAUUUAUAUGAUAAUUGAUUGGUGAUAUGUUAUGUGGAAUAUGAUUGACUAUAUGUUAGAGUCAAAGCAUGCUUAUGUGUUACGUGGUAUCUGAUAAGUUUAAAGGGAUAUAUAAGUGGGUAUCGAUAUACGUGAUAUGUAUAUGCGAUAUAUUGUUUAGUGACUAUAGUAUUAUCUUAUUCUCGUAAAGGAUUUGGACGAGACGUGUACGCUCGAAGACGUCAGGAAGUCGAAAUGGUAUUGCAAAGCGAAUAAGGGAUGAAUCGAGUAAGCGAAGCGAUGUGGCGAAUAGAGUACGGCUAGAGAUGGUCUAGAAAUUAUAAUAUGAAUAGAUUGUGAAAGUGGAAAGAUGAGGUUGAGCUAUGAGACUGGAGUCAGAUUUAAGGCAAGUAUCCUACACCCUGCUUUUGGAUAUAUUGCAUAUUCUGAUCCAUUCUUUUCUAUAUGUGCUGCAAGUAUCCUAAACCUUUCUCUUGGAUAUAUUGCAAAUAUUCUGAUCCAUUCCUUUGGUAUAUGUUUCAAGUAUUCAUACCUUUCUUUUCAAUGUUCGAAAGUGCGAGUAUUCUGAACCAUUCUUUCUAAUCUUCAAGUUUCUAAAGAAUUUCCGUUUUACAAAUUAAUUCGAAGUUCAGAUUGUCAUUGAAGCAUGUGUUGCUCAGUGAUAGUUAGAGCUUUGAAUGAAUUGGGAUCUUCUUGAUUAUUCAACCCGCCAUUGUCAUGCUGGUUUAGCAGGCUAAAUUCAGUUGCUUAGCCGAUAAUGGAGGAUACUGAAUAGUUGAGGAUUUCCUGAACUGUG